UGUCCCCUAUCCACCCGAGCUCUGAAUUCUCAGCUGUUGCAGUAAACAGUGAUAGUGUGAAAAUGUCCUUCAAACUUCACAAAGUUAAUGAAAUCAGCAGAUGCUGCCAGACCUGCUGAACUUUUCUGGUAAUUUGUCUCUUCUUUUACCAGAUUUGUUUCUUCACAAACUGCUGGUUCAGGGAGGGUACCAAAUGCCACCACAGUACAUUGAUUUUGUUUGUGAACACUGUCAUCACUGAAACAGCUUAUGGUGUACAAUGGAACAUCUACCCUACCAAAUGAACAUGGAUCAAGAAGUCUUCCAAAUAAAAGGGGAAAUGAACACACCUAAGAGUUGAAUGGUUUGCUAAGACAUUAGGAAUACUCUUCUGGUGCUGCCAUCAGGGUGGCUGCUGAAAGUUAGCAGCAAGAAUUAUUUGUCCAUUGUCCUCAGUUUUCCAAUCAAUGAAUUGGUCUGAAAUAAAUGCUCUGAAAUUC